rnacentral:rRNA from 1 species
CUUGGUCAUUUAGAGGAAGUAAAAGUCGUAACAAGGUUUCCGUAGGUGAACCUGCGGAAGGAUCAUUAUUGAAUGAACUUGGUGUGGGUUGUCCGCUGGCCCCUUGGGGCAUGUGCACACCCCACCAUCCUCAUCUCUCCACCUGUGCACCUCUUGUAGACUUGGUCUAUGUUUUUUCAUAUACCCCAUAGCAUGUAACAGAAUAUUGGGCGCGCUUGUGCCUAUAAACCUUAUACAACUUUCAGCAACGGAUCUCUUGGCUCUCGCAUCGAUGAAGAACGCAGCGAAAUGCGAUAAGUAAUGUGAAUUGCAGAAUUCAGUGAAUCAUCGAAUCUUUGAACGCACCUUGCGCUCCUUGGUAUUCCGAGGAGCAUGCCUGUUUGAGUGUCAUUAAAUUUCUCAACCUUAUCGGUUGGAUGGGUGGGGGUUGCUGGCUCCUCAGGUCAGCUCCCCUUAAAUGCAUUAGCUACUUGGUGUGAUAAUUAUCUACGCCGUGGAUGCACAAUCAAUUUGACCUCAAAUCAGGUAGGACUACCCGCUGAACUUAAGCAUAUCAAUAAGC